rnacentral:rRNA from 1 species
GAUGAACGCUGGCGGCGUGCCUAAUACAUGCAAGUCGAGCGAACAGACGAGGAGCUUGCUCCUCUGACGUUAGCGGCGGACGGGUGAGUAACACGUGGAUAACCUACCUAUAGACUGGGAUAACUUCGGGAAACCGGAGCUAAUACCGGAUAAUAUAUUGAACCGCAUGGUUCAAUAGUGAAAGACGGUUUUGCUGUCACUUAUAGAUGGAUCCGCGCCGCAUUAGCUAGUUGGUAAGGUAACGGCUUACCAAGGCAACGAUGCGUAGCCGACCUGAGAGGGCGAUCGGCCACACUGGAACUGAGACACGGUCCAGACUCCUACGGGAGGCAGCAGUAGGGAAUCUUCCGCAAUGGGCGAAAGCCUGACGGAGCAACGCCGCGUGAGUGAUGAAGGUCUUCGGAUCGUAAAACUCUGUUAUUAGGGAAGAACAAAUGUGUAAGUAACUAUGCACGUCUUGACGGUACCUAAUCAGAAAGCCACGGCUAACUACGUG